GAUGAACGCUGGCGGUAUGCUUAACACAUGCAAGUCGAACGGUCACUUCGGUGAUAGUGGCGGACGGGUGAGUAACGCGUGAGAAUCUGUCUUCAGGUCGGGGACAACAGUUAGAAAUGACUGCUAAUACCGGAUGUGCCUUUGGGUGAAAGAUUUAUUGCCUGAAAAAGAGCUCGCGUCAGAUUAGCUAGUAGGUGGUGUAAGAGACUACCUAGGCUCCGAUCUGUAGCUGGUCUGAGAGGACGAUCAGCCACACUGGAACUGAGACACGGUCCAGACUCCUACGGGAGGGAGCAGUGGGGUAUUUUCCGCAAUGGGCGAAAGUCUGACGGAGCAAUACCGCGUGAGGGACGAAGGCUUUUGGGUCGUAAACCUCUUUUCUAAAGGAAGAUGAUGACGGUACUUGAGGAAUAAGCAUCGGCUAACUAUGUG
rnacentral:rRNA from 1 species